rnacentral:rRNA from 1 species
GAACCUGCGGAAGGAUCAUUAAAGAGUAAGGGUGCUCAGCGCCCGACCUCCAACCCUUUGUUGUUAAAACUACCUUGUUGCUUUGGCGGGACCGCUCGGUCUCGAGCCGCUGGGGAUUCGUCCCAGGCGAGCGCCCGCCAGAGUUAAACCAAACUCUUGUUAUUUAACCGGUCGUCUGAGUUAAAAUUUUGAAUAAAUCAAAACUUUCAACAACGGAUCUCUUGGUUCUCGCAUCGAUGAAGAACGCAGCGAAAUGCGAUAAGUAAUGUGAAUUGCAGAAUUCAGUGAAUCAUCGAAUCUUUGAACGCACAUUGCGCCCCUUGGUAUUCCGAGGGGCAUGCCUGUUCGAGCGUCAUUACACCACUCAAGCUAUGCUUGGUAUUGGGUGCCGUCCUUAGUUGGGCGCGCCUCAAAGACCUCGGCGAGGCCUCACCGGCUUUAGGCGUAGUAGAAUUUAUUCGAACGUCUGUCAAAGGAGAGGACUUCUGCCGACUGAAACCUUUUAUUUUUCUAGGUUGACCUCGGAUCAGGUAGGGAUACCCGCUGAACUUAAGCAUAUCAAUAAGCGGGAGGAA